rnacentral:rRNA from 1 species
CUACGGGAGGCAGCAGUAGGGAAUCUUCCGCAAUGGGCGAAAGCCUGACGGAGCAACGCCGCGUGAGUGAUGAAGGUCUUCGGAUCGUAAAACUCUGUUAUUAGGGAAGAACAUAUGUGUAAGUAACUGUGCACAUCUUGACGGUACCUAAUCAAAAAGCCACGGCUAACUACGUGCCAGCAGCCGCGGUAAUACGUAGGUGGCAAGCGUUAUCCGGAAUUACUGGGCGUAAAGCGCGCGUAGGCGGUUUGUUAAGUCUGAUGUGAAAGCCCACGGCUCAACCGGGGAGGGUCAUUGGAAACUGGAAAACUUGAGUGCGGAAGAGGAAGGUGGAAUUCCAUGUGUAGCGGUGAAAUGCGCAGAGAUAUGGAGGAACACCAGUGGCGAAGGCGACUUUCUGGUCUGUAACUGACGCUGAUGUGCGAAAGCGUGGGGAUCAAACAGGAUUAGAUACCCUGGUAGUCC